AACGCGAAGAACCUUACCUGCCCUUGACAUCCGGAUGACCGGCAAGUAAUGUUGCCCUCUCUUCGGAGCAUCCGAGACAGGUGGUGCAUGGUUGUCGUCAGCUCGUGUCGUGAGAUGUUGGGUUAAGUCCCGCAACGAGCGCAACCCUUAUCUUCAGUAGCCAGCGGUUCGGCCGGGCACUCUGGAGAGACUGCCAGGGAUAACCUGGAGGAAGGUGGGGAUGACGUCAAAUCAUCAUGCCCCUUAUGGGCAGGGCUACACACGUGCUACAAUGGCGUAAACAAAGGGAGGCAGAGCCGCGAGGCCGAGCAAAUCUCAAAAAUAACGUCUCAGUUCGGAUUGUAGUCUGCAACUCGACUACAUGAAGCUGGAAUCGCUAGUAAUCGCGAAUCGGAAUGUCGCGGUGAAUACGUUCCCGGGUCUUGUACACACCG
rnacentral:rRNA from 1 species